AAAUAAGGUUCCUCAUGUAUCUUAUCAUGCAAUUUAUAAAGUGUUAAAUAUUGUACUAAAAAAUGAUAAAUAAAUUACUAAGGGGUGUUUAAUUCUCUUUCAUUAAUUACUUCAGAUUUUCUAAUCACAGAGUCUGUCAGGUCGCAAUAUAAUCAACUUAAAUCACACAAACCCACUAUGCAAUGCAUUUCCUUCCAAUUUUUUGUGUCAAAAUAAUAGAUGAUUGACUAAAUAAAC
rnacentral:lncRNA from 1 species